CCUGUAGCUCAGUUGGAUAGAGCAACGGCCUUCUAAGCCGUAGGUCCCGGGUUCGAAUCCCUG
rnacentral:tRNA from 1 species